AUUUUUUUAAGUCCAUUUUUAUUACUCUUCUUGGUCUGUUGAAACAAAAUCUCAUGGAUUAGGGGGCCCAAGAAAGCUGUCUCCCAGAAUUCUGGAGUUUGAGGGGUCUAAGAUUAGGAUACCAUCUAACUCCAUUUCCUGCCAGACUUCUCCUAACUCACAGACAUCUGCCUUUCCUUUUCUGUUUUCUACGGAUCUUUAAAGUCCUAUUUCCAAACACAGUUUACACUAGGCACUAGGCCUUCAGUACACAUUUUUAAGGAGACACAAUGUAUCCCUUGUCAUGCUUCUCCUGUCCCUUUCCACCAAAUUCAUGCCCAUGCAUGAAAUGCAUUCAUUCCAUCCCAGUAGCUGCCAAAGUCUGAAAUUCCAGCCCCAGCUAUAAGGUCUCAAGUCCCAAGUUUAGUCUACCACCUGGAUCAGAUAUGACUGAGAUGUUUGAUUAUCCAUCCUAAGCUAUGCGCCUGUGAAACUGAGUAAGUUACGUGCUUCUAAAAUGCUAUGGAAGGACAGGCAUAGAAUAGACAUCACUACACCAAAGGAUAGAAAUGCAAAUGAAGGAAUGGGUGAUGGAUACCAAGCAAUUUCAAAACCUGGCAAAUUCCACUAGAUUGUAAGACAUAAGAAUAAUCUGUUUUGGCUUGAUUCACAGCCAAUGAGCCUGUUAGUGUGACACUCCUUCCUCCAUGGUCUUCCAGAUAGCCUCAUUGCCAGGGCUCUGCAGGGCAGUCUGAGCUGUCAGGUUUAUAUUGAAGGCCACCUUUCCUGUUGAAAGCAAGGAUGAACUAGUUGAAUUCACCUAUGAGCUAUGCCCAUCAUUUUAUUAGCCUUUGAGCUGUACCCACCUGUAGGGAGAGACCCAGGAUACCUGUACCAUUCACCCUGCCCAUGUGGGCAUGGUCACAGAUACAUCGAGGGGUAGGAUAAAGAGAGAGGACAGGAGGCACUCUCUUUCUCUCUCAGGGUUCAGCCAGCUCUUGGAAGCAUCUGGGAUCCUGGCGGCUCGGAGUGCCCAUCCUAAAGAGGUAUUUCUUCUUGCUGUAAUUAGAGUCUCAAGUGUGCCUCCAAAAAGCGCAUGUGUUGAAGACGGGGUCUGUAAUGUAGUGUUCAGAGGUCAGACUUUGGGGAAGUGAUCGGCUUAUGAGCAGGCUGAUGGAUACAUUAAUUGCUGCAACAUUCAUUGAUGGAUGCACAAUGAAAUGGAUUGUCGGGAGGGGUAGCGUCUGAGGGCCAGUGCCUGACUGGAACGAGUCACUGUGGACACCACUUUGAAAGGUCUGUGCUCGCUAGUUUUUUGUGUCAAAAAGAGGUGCACAUCUGAGACCCUAGCAUUCCAACUUGGCAAUGGAGACGGAGAAUACACCAGAAGCUUAAGAGCCAGCUGACCUGGAGUAAGCCAUGUAACAGCAGAACCAAGAGAAGCCAUGCUUCAACAUGAUGGAAGAAGAGAUCGGGCUCCCAAAGGUUGUCCCUUGAUGUCCUCAUGCACACCACGGCAUUGUGCACACUAACACUCACACAUAAAC
rnacentral:lncRNA from 1 species